rnacentral:rRNA from 1 species
UACGGAGGGUGCAAGCGUUAUCCGGAUUCACUGGGUUUAAAGGGUGCGUAGGCGGCCUUGCAAGUCAGUGGUGAAAGCCCGCAGCUUAACUGCGGAACUGCCAUUGAAACUGCCAGGCUUGAGUAUAAUUGAAGUGGGUGGAAUGCAUCAUGUAGCGGUGAAAUGCUUAGAUAUGAUGCAGAACCCCGACUGCGAAGGCAGCUCACUAAAUUGUAACUGACGCUGAGGCACGAAAGCGUGGGUAGCGAACAGG